UAUAUAUAUAUACAUAUGUAUAUGUAUACGAUAGGAAGGAAAAGACUCACUCACCUGGAGUUUACGCUACAACUUCCUAGCACACACAAAGAGGCAUCAUGAACGAUCGGCGCCUAGAACAAUUAUCAAAUCACAUCUCAGAAUUCUUAUCGAUAGAAUACAUAAUUUACAUAAAACACACCCCUAAGAUUCGAUCCGGAAAAUCCACAUUAUGGAUUUCUGAUCCAUUACUUCUAAAGAUCCACAUUAUGCUUCUCGAACAACAUCCUAAAGUUCCAUUACGAUCCAACGGUCGGAUCUCGGCCAAUUGCCAAAACCAAGUGAUGGUUAACAUUUUAUUUUAUGAACUUACAAAUUCAAUUCGGGGAGAUCCGUAGGUCAGAUUCCCUAUCCGUAAGUUUCUAUGGUCCUUAAAUAUUAUGUACUAUAACAUAUUAAAGUUUGGUGACGAUCCAACGGUCAGAUCGUCGAUUUACAUUUUUACCAAGUAACAUAUCGUAAGGAAUUUAGUUUCAAACGAUCAACCUACGUUAUAAAAUUACCAAAACUGAACUCAAGGUAUCUAAUUUAGCCUAAGAAUGACAUUGAUGGCCUCUUGGCCACGCGCAGCCGCAUGUGCUGCCGUGGGUGGCGGUCGGCCGCCCCGACUCGUCGAAAAAUCCAACUAUUUCAAAAAAUUACCAAAAAUUAUAGGAAUGAAGAUCUCAAUGAGUAGAGUAACUUUUAUACCUAUGAUCAAGGCCAAAUAGGCUGGGAAGAGCUUCCAUUUCAUUAAAACAUGUCGAAAACCCUAUAUUUAGGUGUGCUCGAUUCGACCUCCAAACUUGCUCCAACGCCUCCACCACUGCCUGGGCUUUGUUCCUGGGUUCUAGGGGAGCCUAAUGGUGGUGGAGAUUGAUGU
rnacentral:lncRNA from 1 species